ensembl:processed_transcript
UGUUAGGAAACGGACGGACAAACAGGUAUGGAUGAUGAUAUAGAUGCUGACCGAAUACACACACCAGAUGAGUAGGGGAUGAGACAGAACGAUGGAGCACCCACCAGAUGAGUUACGGAGACGACAACGAGGAAACACACACCUCCAACUGGAACACGGGGCUGACUGGACAAACUGGAGACAAAACAGAGAAUAGGUAA